rnacentral:rRNA from 1 species
AAACCGCUUAGGGGUUAAGCCCGAUGAACCUGAAUAUCUGAAUUGAGAAAUUCAAUAUUAUGUUAUUGGUAUUUUUAAUUUAUACCUUUAACUAGUAUGCACUUUUCUCAUAGUAAGACAUUGCGAUCCAUUAGAAAAUUUAUGAAACGGCUUGUAUGUAUUGUUUAUUCUAUCUGUAAUAAUUCUUAUGAAUUGUUAUAUGAAUAAAUGCAUUAUGCAAUGUCCUGAUAAAUAGCUGAUGGAGCUUAAAAAUCAUACAACCAUACAUGCUAUGUAUCACAGUAUGAAGAUUUCUUUCUUUAUAUGUAGUGAUUGUAUGUAUUUGAUUAGCAAUGCGAUAGAUUUGGGAUACCUUCGGGACCCGUCUUGAAACACGGACCAAGAAGUCUAACAUGUGUGCGAGUCAUUGGGUAUAUAAUAAUUUUUUUAAAAUUGUUAUGUUUUGUUGAAACCUAAAGGCGAAAUUAAAAUAACUAUUUUAAUGGGAUUACAAGUAAUUUGAAAAGAUUACUUCUCCAUCCCGGGGCGUUCUAUAUGAACAUGAUUUAAGCAAUUAGAUCCUCUGUUCAAGAGCGUACCUUGAGCAUACAUGCUGUGACCCGAAAGA